rnacentral:rRNA from 1 species
UGCCAGCAGCCGCGGUAAUACGGGGGGUGCAAGCGUUAAUCGGAAUUACUGGGCGUAAAGCGCGCGUAGGCGGUACGCUAAGUCAGAUGUGAAAGCCCCGGGCUCAACCUGGGAAUGGCAUUUGAUACUGGCGCACUAGAGUGUGAUAGAGGAAGGCGGAAUUCCCGGUGUGGCGGUGAAAUGCGUAGAGAUCGGGAAGAACACCGAUGGCGAAGGCAGCCUUCUGGGCUAAAACUGACGCUGAGGCGCGAAAGCUAGGGGAGCAAACAGGAUUAGAUA